rnacentral:rRNA from 2 species
AGAGUUUGAUCCUGGCUCAGAACGAACGCUGGCGGCGUGCUUAACACAUGCAAGUCGAACGUGAUCCGGAGCUUGCUCCGGUGAAAGUGGCGCACGGGUGAGUAACGCGUGGAUAAUCUGCCCUGGUAUCUGGGAUAACAUCUCGAAAGGGGUGCUAAUACCGGAUAAGCCUACGGACUCUUCGGAGUCUGCAGGAAAAGGUGGCCUCUAUUUAUAAGCUACCGUAUCAGGAUGAGUCCGCGUACCAUUAGCUAGUUGGUGGGGUAAUGGCCCMCCAAGGCUACGAUGGUUAGCUGGUCUGAGAGGAUGAUCAGCCACACUGGAACUGAGACACGGUCCAGACUCCUACGGGAGGCAGCAGUGGGGAAUUUUGCGCAAUGGGGGAAACCCUGACGCAGCAACGCCGCGUGAGUGAUGAAGGCUUUCGGGUCGUAAAGCUCUGUCAGAGGGGAAGAAAUGAGUCUGGCUAAUAUCCAGAUUUCUUGACGGUACCCUCAAAGGAAGCACCGGCUAACUCCGUGCCAGCAGCCGCGGUAAUAC